CGUCUCUUCGGAGACGCCCCCUCUCAACUUGGAAUGAUACAGAGAAGAUUAGCAUGGCCCUGCGCAUGGAUGACACGCACAAAUUGAGGAAAGGUCCAAUUUUUU
rnacentral:snRNA from 2 species